CAGCCAGCCUGGACCCAAAGCCCAGACCCUUCCCGAUUAGGGCCUGUCAGGAGCCGUCGAGGCCCAGGACACGGGGGGCCUUUCUGCUUGGCCUCAGAUGGAAGGCAGUGACACAGUCCAGAGGGAGGGCCUUGUACUGUCCUGGAAGAUAGUGCCCUUGAGGCCCCAAGGAUGAGUCAUGGGUGAUUCGGGGCACUGCAAGGCGGGGGUGGGGGGCCCGGCCCGGGCUGGCCGGCUGGCUCUCCUCCUGUAUAAGCCCCCAAGCCCACUGCUUCGGACUUCCCGUCUCUCCUGAGCUCAGAAGUGUGACCCCGGCUGCAGCCAUGAAGUGCCUCCUGCUCACCCUGGGCCUGGCCCUCGCCUGCCCCGUCCAGGAUGCCCACAUCCCCCAGACGGUGGAGGACCUGGACAUUAGAAAGGGAAAACCACGAGUGUAUGGAGAAGACCCUCAUGGCCCAGAAGACCGAGGACCCUACUGUCUUCACAGUCGACUCCAGGACCCCGGAGGUGGAUGACGAGGCCAUGGAGAAAUUCGCCAGGGCCCUGGCGUCAUUGUCGGAGGACGUGCAGAUGGUCCUGGACCUGCGCCGGGGGGCGGGGCAGUGCCACGUCUAGGUGAGCCCCUGCCGGCGCCUCUGGGGGCCCAGGAGCCUUGGCUCCUCUGGGGACAGACGACGUCACCCCUGCCUCCCCCAUCAGGGGGACAAGGAGGGACCGGGACCGCGGUCACCCCUCCUGGGACCCAGGCCCCUCCAGUCUCCUCCUGGGGCCUCCUGCUCUGGGCCGCUUCUCCUUCAGCAAUAAAGGCGUAAACCUGUGC
rnacentral:lncRNA from 1 species